GGGACUUUCAAAAAAUAAAGGUGGCAGAGUAAAGAAAGGAUGAGAAAGCUACCCGUUUACCAACAAAGGUAACCAACUUACAUCCAGUGUACGCUGGUUCUCUGGCACCUUUUGGUCAAAUCAAUUCUAUGGGGUUAAAUGACGAAUAAUAGAAUUUGUAGAUCCAACUAAAGAAGAUGAAGCCUUUUCCAGGAUCAUUACAGGAACAAAGGGUGUGUAAGAGAGAGCCAUCGUAAGUCACAAAGGGAGACCCCUGGGACAGUGAAGAGCGUUCGUGGGUGAGCCGGAAAGGGGUAGGGAGUCCGAACGUCCGCUGACACUGUUUGUUUCAUGGGAACUGUAAUUAAUUGCAAAGAAAGGAAAUAUUUCUUAUUUGGCCCCUUCUUGCCUGGCACAGAUCCCUUACUCCUGUCGAACAGCACCUGAGCACAAGUCAUACAUCACAAGAGAAAAAGAACACUGACGCUGUUCCGUCUCCGCAUUUGAACCGCUGUUAACGCAAGCGAUGAAAAGGGAAUUGUCUUCCCCAGCUAGCUCAGUGCAAAGACAAUUGUAUGAGGCAUUUUUCGUACAUUACAGAAUGGAAACUGAAAUACACAAGAGUGUCAGUAACAUCCGAAGUCUCCGGGGAAAGAGCAGUCGAAUUUGGGAGAGACGAUCUGCCGGCCUGGCUCAGGAGCCCCGCCCUGAAGCGCUCCCUUUUCAUCUAUGUCCCAAACAUCUACAUGGAGUACAUGUUGGAGGAACUCUAAGAACCAAUUAAAUUUCAGCUCAGAACUGCAGAGUGAGUACAGAUACUUGUUAUAUCUCUGCCUCCAGUUUUACUGAAACCACUACAAAGACAAACUAAAGAAUAAAUCAGUAACAAAAAGAAUGGAAAUAGACUUGUAUGUUCCGCUAUUUCCUGGAAUUCAGAAAGUGGAUGGAGGGCUGGCAAGAUGAAGAACAGACAGACUGAAGCGGACCCUAGCCCCAGAACUGCUCUGAUAGGGUGCGGGGGUGGGAACUGCUCUUCCUCGGUACCAGCAUCUCUGGGUCAGAAGUCUGGUGCAGGAGGGCGGAGCUAGGAGGAGGCUAAACACAGGGAUUUAAACAUUGGAAGUGUGUUAAGGAAACACCUGUGUCGUCCACCCUGCUUCACAAGGGUAAAGGAGCCGGGACCCACAGAUACAUGGAUGACUCCUAGGAAGAGCUCCGGGCUAAGGAUGAGGACCGCUGCUCUUGAUUUUAGUUGCUGAAGGCGUCCCCAGCAGAACUUGAGUCUCCCUACAGAUGCAGCCUAACGGAAGAUAACCCAAACCCUCCUCAUGCAGAACAAGGGCACGUAAGAGAACCAGGAACGUCUGUGUAACAACAGAGAAACAUCGGGAUCAGUACUCGUAAAAAUACUUAGUUCUAAAUUAUGAAUAAAAAAUAAAAAUUCCUGGAUAUACAUGGGAAACAGUAAUUCUGGGCGUGGGGUGGGGAGACAGAGAGGGACAGAGACAGAGAGAAACUGCCCCUGAAAAACCAGAGAUAAUCCUGAAGCAGCCAGUCCUCCCUUUCCAAGCUUCUGUUAAGCAUGAAUGUCAUUUACAACAGUGUAGGUAAAUUACACCAGUCCACCCACACAGUUCAAGCACCCAUCGCCAUGACUGUCACUGCACGAAGCACAAACUGCACAAUUCCACCCACAAGUAACUAAGUAAACAGCACACACACAACUCUCCUUCACGUUACUUCUUUCGAAGCCCAGCAACUGGUCACUGCAGUUAUCCAGGGCUCGGAGACAGCCACGACAGCAAGUGUGUAGCUGUGCUGCCGCCUCACUCCCCAGCCAUAAAUGUUCGCGACAUCUCACAAAAACAGGACAGGAGAUCAGCCAGUAAAGACGAAAAUGCAUCGAAGAAACAACUGACACAAACAUAAACAGACAAAACACUUCAUCACUGCUGACACUGGCAACACUUGGAGGUUCAGACGGGUGCCCAGCAGAAGCAACCUGGUUGGCUGCAGUGAGCGAAGCAGUUAGCUCUGCGUGUCCCCGAUCCCACGCACGGGUGUACCUCAACCGCAGACUGAAAAUGUCCGGAAUAAAUGCGUACGUACCAACCCUCUGAAGACUGCCAUUCCCUAGGCAAUGCAGAUACUCACAGCAUUUUAUGAUGUAUUACAAGUAACGGAGAAACAGAUCAUUUAAAAUAUGAGAUGCAGCUUAUAUGUGAACGUCUUUUCAUAGAAGAGACUUGAGCAUUUGUACACGGAAGCAUCUCCAGGGCCCUAGAAACAAUCCCCACGGAUGCUGAGUACGACUGCACUGGUUAACAGGAAGAAUGAAGGUGUCCCAGAGGGGGCGCCCUCAACAACUUCCUGUUAUCUGGAAAUAUUUCACCAGCUUAAAGGCAAAAAGGACAACAUGUUGGAAGCUGAUUCAGUUACAAGGGUAACACGUUGUCAAGACAGAACAAAAUGCUUACAUAUACAAAGCAGCACUGGUCAAACUGAUGAGGUAACAAAGAAAUAGAAUAAUUUUCAACGUUAAUGUUAACUGCACUCAAUAUUAGUUUUGCUUUAUUAUUCUUCAUUUUCCUUUAUAUUUAUAACUGUCAUUUUAAAGUCUUGAAAAAAAUUAUAAAGGGCAUAGAAAAAUGUCCUUCCCAUUAAGUUUGCUUUUUAUUUGUCUUUUUGAGACUGGGUUUCUAUAAGAAAAUACUUAUAGAACAUACACAAAAGGGAACGAGGGGAGCCAAAGCACGACACACAAAGAUCAUGAAAUGCAAAGGAGGCACCUUAAGAAAGUCACAAAAAGGCUCCAGAGAUACAGAAAACAAUGAGCUACUCACAGACUAAUGUAAAUAUAUUAAACUCCCCAAUCAGAAGACACAGAUUGGAUGAAUGGAUUUGCAAAGACGGAACUAUAUUCCAUCUGCAGAGACUCCCUUAAGAUGUAAGGGUGCACACAGGCUGAACAUGAAAAAGACACUCCACGCAAGUGGGAAACACGCUGGCCACACGAGUGUCAGAAAAAAAUAUUUGAAAACGCUGUCACAGGAGACAAAAGGACUUAAAACAUAAAAUGUCAGUCUACCAAGCAGAUACAGUUAUAAACAUCCAAGCACCAAACAUCAGGGCCACCAAAUAUACGAAGCACACGCUGACAGAACUGAAAAGAGAAAGACACACAAGGUUGCAGCAGACUUCGGAUCCCUUUUCAGUAAUGUGCAGGACGAUGAGAUCAGGAAGGAGCAGCUUCAGAAAUACUACAAAUCCAUUAGGCCUGCAAGAUACACACAAAACGCUGUACCCAGAAAUGGCAGAGUACACACUCUUUCUCAAGCACAUGGAAAACUAUCCAGGACAGACCACAAGUCAAGCCAUGAAAUAAGAUUUAACUAAUUUAAGAAAACUGAAAUCAUAUGAAGCAUCUUUUUCAACCACAAUGGAAUAAAAAUAGAAAUAGCCAAAGGAAAACUAAACAAUACACACUUACGUGGAAAUAAAACAAAAAAGGACUCAAAGAGAAACAAGAAAAUAUCCUGAGACAAGUCAAAAUGAGAACAGCAUGGAAUGCAGCAAUACCAGUAAUGAGGGAGUAUUACAGCUGCAAAUGUUCAUAUAAAAAAAGACCUCAAAUAAAUAAUCUAAUUUUAUACCUCAGAAAACUAAAUAAAGGAGAAAAAAGUAAAUCCAAA